rnacentral:misc_RNA from 1 species
AAGUUCAAGACUCUGCUGAGGAUUCACUGCUUAGCUCCGAAUUGAAUCUUGAUGUUCUGAAAGAGGCUAGGAUGUUCCACUUUAAUUCUGAAGUCUUGACAUCUUCAUCUAUGCGUUCAACUCUUUUUAAAGCAAUUACAUUGUCAAAGAAGUUUGGUGGUCUUGUAUUUUUUGACUUAAAUCUGCCAUUGCCUCUGUGGAGAUCACGUGACGAAACAAGGGAUUUGAUCAAGGAAGCCUGGCAGCAAGCUAACAUCAUUGAGGUUUCGAGGCAAGAGCUUGAAUUUCUUCUUGACGAAGAGCAUUACGAGAGG